rnacentral:misc_RNA from 1 species
UUUUUUUUCUUUUCUUAAAUCUCCAUGAAAUGAACGUUACGUCGCAAGGAGUCGCAGGAUAACACAUUACUGUCAUUAGCACAAUAGCAGCAGACAACUUCACGCAUAGAAUUUAGUUCAGUUGCUUGAAAAUUGUGGAGCUGUGCUGUAGCGUUCAUUCACAUACUGUUCUUUCCAUAGUUCACUAAGGUAACGCACUAGAGCAGAAAGAACAGUCCAAGUGCAACAUUUCUCGGUAAUAUUUGAGCGUUUUAACACUUUGGUUUGAGUUGACAGCGUGACGGUAUUUCACUUAAAUGACAACUGUGACCGAAUUAUCUAUCGAUGUAAAGGACAGAGAAUUGUACGAGUGGAACUUUGAAAAAGAAAAAGUUGAUGGUUCCAACUCGUUAGGCUCAGCGAUACAUGUCAGUGGACAUACAUUGGAUAGUCUGGCUAGUCAUAUUAAUCGGACUACAAGUAUGGAUGAAGGUGAUGACCAAGAGUCUCCGGAAAACUAUUCUCCUCUAGACAUGGGUAACUUGAAAUUUCUUUUAGAGUGCUUUUUCCUUUCAUUCGGACCAGAGUUUCCACAACUGGGUAGGAACCAUCCGAGAUCGAACCCAGAGUAUUUCGAAACCUCAUUUUCUGGGGAAUUUGAAUCCGAGAUAUCCAGUUCCAGCAGUCGAUCUUCUCAAAUAUCCGUAGAUCUUGAUCCUGUGUUUUUCAGACAACCUGGCGUUUUCGCCCCUCGCCAUGGAACACAUACCCAAAUAGUAAAUGACGAUGAUGUAGCUAUGGAGACACUGGUGCCGUUUGGCGACAAUGUUCUUUUAAGAGAAUUGUCAGAAAUGCGUGUGAUUCUUGAAAGAAUUCUAGACACCCGGGAACAAUGGAAUAACGACCAUGAAAUUUUGGAUAUUCUUGAAUUCUUGGAAAGUCAUUCUUCUCACAGUGACCCAACGGCUCAUUUUCCAGUGGGAGAAUUGGAUUGUGUGGAGUGUGGGAUCUGCCUGGAAGUUCACUGGUUAUAUCGCCGACCGUGCUGUAAUUACUCAGCAUGUAACAAUUGUCUUCAUCUGUACUUUACCACUAAGGUGGAAGAGGGGUUUGUCAAGAUUCAGUGUUGUAACUACUCGUGCUAUAACUUUGUUCAUAGAGACGAGAUCUCCGCCCGCUUGACUUCGUCCACCAAAGAAAUUUUCAACAAGCUUUUGGUGCGAGCUAAUGAAGACGACUAUACAAAAACCUGCCCUCGUUGUAGCCACGUAAUGAAGUUGAAUUCCAGUGAACAGAGGAAACUUUGGGCUAAUGUACGCAAGGUGAAAUGUCCAGAGUGUCAAUUAGAUUGGUGUUUUAGCUGCCAUGCCCCAUGGCACGUUGACUUAACAUGUAAAGAAUACAUGAAAGGAGAUCGACUUGUUAAAUCGUGGGCUAGAAAAACUACUCAUGGUCAAUUCAACGCCCAGCGUUGCCCAAAAUGUAAGAUCUAUAUCCAGAGGUCAAGUGGGUGUGAUCAUAUGCACUGUAGUCGUUGUAAAACAGAUUUUUGCUAUAGAUGUGGUGAGCGUUUCCGAGGACUCAAAUUUUUUGGAGAUCACUAUAGCAAACUGAGUGUAUUUGGCUGUAAAUACCGAUACAAGUUGGACAAACCUGUGGAAAGAAAGCUAGUGCGUGGUGCUAUUUUUGGUGGAAAGUUAAUGGUGGCUCCUGUUUUAGGAUCUUUUGCACUAUGUGCAGGUGCAAUGGCGGUAAGUGUAGGUGUGUUUGCUCUUCCGUUCUACAGUGGAGUAAAACUAUAUCAGCAUUACCAGGCUAAGAAAAGACUGACCAUCACAGGUACUCAGCACCAGUCCUCCGUAGGCCAGGGUCAUAUUGCAUGGGAACUAGAUGGUGUAUAAUGGUCAGAUGUAUCAGCUGAAAGUGAGGAAUUUUCAUUUGAUCAUCUUGAUCAGCCUAACAUGAAGACAAGUUUGAAACUGUUCUGUGAGGAUACCAUGUUUUCUUUGCUAAAGAGGAAGUUUUGAUACUUGAUGAAUUAAUUCUCUUAGUCAUCUGUAUUGGUUCCUAAUCCAGUUAACAUAGUCCAGCUAUCCAUGUUCACUUUUUUUAUUGAAAUAUACUGAUGUCGUGAACUAUAUAUGUAUACUGUUAAGUUCAGUUGUUUAUUAAUAUAUAUUCCUUAAAUAUCCAGUAUACCUGAUACCUAACUUUACUUUUAAGAUGAGCUACAGCUACUGAAUUUUGUAUCACUAAUGCGAUGAGAUAACAUUUAUUGGAGAUAUUUUAAUUUAAGUUAUCUGUAUCAGAUGAAGAUCAAAUUCUGUAUGUAAUUGUUGAGGCUUUUUUAUUUCUUGUUUUCAUUUGUAACUUGAUGUUUUUGUAAAGUUUUAGAAAUACAUUAUGGUUGGUAAAUGUAUUACCAUUGACUUCUGUUUAAAAGAAAUAUGGAGUUGUACUGUUAACUGACUCUUUGAAAAGUCUGUGUACUUUGUAUCCUACCAGCUCAUAAAAAAUUUGUUAUCCUGUCUUUGAGAUUUGUACACUUUGAGUUGUACAGUCAUUCACAGGAAGCUCAUAAUCUUGGCUUGAAGUUUAUAUUGUACAAUCACUUACAGGAAAUCUGUAAUCUUGGUGUGAAGUUUGUAUAUGUUGAGUUGUACAAUCAUUUACAGGAACCCAUAAUCCUGUCUUUUAUAGGAAGUCUGUAAUCUUGGUGUGAAAUCUGUACACCUGGCUCUGUACAAGCAUUCACAGGAAAUUCAUAAUCUUGGUGUGAAUUUUGUACAUUUUGAGUUGUACAAUCUUUCACAGGAAGUUUGUAAUCUUGUACAUCUUGAGUUGCACAAUCAUUCACAAGAAGUCCAUAAUUUUGGCAGGAAGUUUGUACAUUUUGAAAUGUACAGUCAUUUACGUGUACAUGAAUUCCUUGUGUAUUGACAUACAUUAUGCUAAUACAAGAGUAAAUUGACCAACAAUGAGUGAUCUAUAGACGUAAGGAAGUUUUUUAUGUAGAGAAAAUCCUGUAUGUUUCAACAGAAUGUUGGAUUGUCUUUUUCAGGUAUGCAUACAGAGUUUAUAUACAAAAUUAAUAUAUAUAUAUAUAUAUAAAGAAAAAAGAUGCAAGAGUUUAUAAUAUGCAAGAGUAUUGUCACAUAACAGUGAAAUUUACAACAGGUGUAUGACUUAAGUAAAGCUCAGGGCUGGUCGAGUAUGGGAAUGAAAGCUAAAUAUAUAAAGUCAGCCAAGUUUUGUUGAUGCUACUAGAGUCAUCGUUAUACUUUAGGGAAAAUCACCUGCUUAAGUAAUUUCCAUUCUUUCUAAACAAUUUAUUUUUUGGUUGGUGUAGGAGAACAAUUUUAUCCCAAAGUAUGUUAUGAUUUUAUUGGAAUUGAUAACUUAUUAAGGGAGAUUUCUCAAAUUUAUAUCUGUGUGUGUGUGUGUGUGUGUGUGUGUCCUUGGUGUGUCUGAUUUUCAAGGAACCAGAUAUAUUUAUCCUUACCACAUUCACUGUAUACACGUUGCUUUUCUCCCUUAGGUAGAGUUUGUUUCAAGUCAGGUAAUAAGGUACUUAUCUUAUGUGAAGGCUUAAAUACAGUAUUUCAGUUACUGGUAAAAUCAGUAAAAAUUUCUGGCAUAAAAGGAAAUGAAACAAAGUUCUGUUUUUUGUUAUUCAUAAGGAAAUAACUGGAAUUAGCAUAAAAAAGUUUUAUGGUUUUGAAGUUUAGUAAAAGCUCUAUCUAUGAAAUUAAGGUUAAACCAUCUAGAUAGAACUACAAUAUUGUAGUAGUUCAGUACAGUUUGUUGGUACAAAACUGUAUAGCAUGGUUUACAUUGGUAAAGUAGGAGGUAAUUAGAUCUUGUGUGAAGGGGGGUAUGUUUCUUUUUGUAUACACUGAUGUUCACUUUAUUUUUCUUUAUGUUAAAAUCUAAGAAGGACAGACAACUGUCAGAUUCUAUUUCAUAAGUGAAAAUUAUGACUUUUGGGUCCUGUUGUUUAAAAAUUGUAUAAUGUUAAGUAGAUUGUCUUUCCCAUGUCACAUACACUAAAAAUAUUGUCAGUGUAUGUGUGAAUUUAUUCUCAUAGUGUUCUUCUAGAAUCGACAUGUAAAGGUCAUUAAGUAGAAGGGAAUAUCCCAUAGCUAGGCCACUGUUUUGUUUAUAGAACUAACCAUUGUAGGUAAAAUAAGUGUCGUUAACACGGUAUUAUGUUAGGUUGAUUAAGUGGUCGAUAUCAUUAGAAACUGUUUUGUUCUAGCUUAGUUCUUAAAGUAAAACUUGUUCAACAGGUAUUGAAGUAAAGAAAGAUUUUGUCAAAAGCCACUAAAAUAUCUUCUUGAUCUCAUUCAAAGUUUUUGAUUCUAUCCACAAAGUUUAUACUAUACAUUUAUGUAUAUUAUAAACUGUUUUGUCUUUUGAAUUUAUAUAUAUUGUAUGCUUGGUUGUAUAUCAUACUUGAAGAAAACAGAAAAAAGAUGUUGUAUGUCAAUAUUUAAAGUUUUUCUAUAUUUUUAAAUCAUUGUUGGUCAUUUUACUAUUACAUGAAAUCUAUAAUUUUGACUUGAAGUUUGUGUUCUUUGAGUUGUGCAAUAAUUCACAGGAACUCCAUAAUCUUGGUGUGGAACUUGUACGCUUUGAAUUGCACAAUCAUUCAUAAUCUUAUCUCAAAGUUUGUAUAUCUUGGAUCGUAGACUUUACAGAAAUUUCAUAAUCUCUUGCUUUGAAAUCUGUAUACUUUAGAUCUUGUCAGACUUUCAAGAAAAUUUAUAUUCUUGUCUUUAUUAUCUGCUUACCUUUGGUCUUACCAGACUUCAAAGUUUGUGACCUGACUUUAAAGUUUGUAUACUGCGGGUCCUUCUAAUGUUUAUAAUGUUGGUGUUAAAUUAUAAAGUUUAUAUUGGAGGUCAGAUAGUGGAAAGUUAAUUGUUGUAUAGAAAUUGAAGCAUUACUAUGAACUAAGUUUGUUACAAAAGUAGAAUUGUUAAAUGAGUAAAUGAGAAACUACAGACUUUAAAAAGGAGAAUUCUUGCUAUGUUUAAAUACUGUAAAAAAGAUAAAGAAUUAUUGAGUUAUGAUUAUUGUCUGAAAGAUAAGUUACAAGUAUGAAAUGAACAUACCUAUUUAUGUAUUUUGUAUUGAAUUUUCCUACAUUUUCAAAAAUGUGGUUUGUGAGUUAACUGCUUUAAAUGUUUAAUAGUGGCUAAAGCUUACCAAAGUAUACUUUUACUGUUUUAAAUGUUCUUAAUGUACACUUUUUGAUGAGAAUACUUGUGUACAUACUUCAGUAACAAAACAUACUUUUCUUUGAGUAUUGAUUGUUUGUGAGAUUAUCAUUUAAUAUGUCACACAAAACAGGAAUUAUUGUAGACUUUUUCUUUAGCCUUUAUCAUGUGUUAUAUUUGUAAUUAUUCUAUCUCUAAGCUAAUGUUUUGUAUAGUAUCUAGUCUGGUACAACUUUAGCAAGUUUCAUUGUGAAAAAAUAAAUGUAAAUAUAAUGGCAAAAUCGGUUGAAGAAUUUUAGUUUUCCUUGAUAAAUUAUUGCCUUCAUAGAGCCAGCAGUAUAUAAAAAGAAAAAAAAAGUUUACACGUGUAAAUUACAAAACAAAUUGCUCUGAUUUUAAGUUUUGUUGAGCCUACACAUAAGAUUAUUAUAUAAUAAACAAUGCUUAGGUGUAGAAUUUUUAGACUUAGGAAAAUCUAGAUUUUUUAUUUUGUUUUGGUUGAAUUUAUGAAGAGUUUCUAGUCAGCUGAAUGAAGUAACAUACACACUGAUAUGUAGUGGUAACAUAAGUUGAAAGCUGAGUAAUAAGAUAAUAUUUAAAUACAGUUUGAAGUGUUUCUCUUUGAGACUUUUUAAUCUCUUGGUGCAGAUAUUAAACAGAUUAAUAUUGGAAUAAAAAGCCUUUUGAGACUAUACAUUUUUAAUAACUAUAUUUCUAAUAUAAAUUUACUUGAUAUUUUAUUAAUUUUUUGUUGGUUAGGUUCUUGCCUGUAUAACAAAGUGUUUAAAUUGACUUGUAAGAUACAUUUUUACAUUAAUGUUUUAAAUUUUUCAUGGAAAGAAUUAAAAAUUACAUGUUUAAGAAAAUUUAUAAAUUAUGAAGUAAGAUGAUGCAGGAACAAAAUUUAAUAUACUUCAUCUAUGAUGACACUGGCUAUUGUAAAUUAAAUAGAAUGUUUAGAAGGGGUGGGGUAAUAUAUAGUUUCUGGAGAUUUAAUUCAGUAACUGGUAUUCAUAGUCUUUAUUAUUGUAUGUCAUUCAAUGUUAUAUUGUCUUCCUAUCCAGUGGCAUAACUACAAAAGUUGGGCUCCCCAACUUUUAGUUCCUUAUAAUUGUAGUUACUGGCUUAUUGAUAUCAUUAACUUAAUUGAAGAUUUAACCAAACUUAAAAUUGCAUCUAGUGUUAAUUUUCGAAUUACACAAGUAUCAGAUUUCAGGCCAGUUAGUUCAUGCAUUGGUGAAAGAGAAGUACGUAGUAGUAUACAUGGUGUAACUAUACUUAUAUUUCCAUCAUGACUGUAUGGACCAUUAACCAAGACAGUCAGUGUAUGGACUCAGUCUGCUGUCCUUUCUCUAAAUGUUUUUACUAUGCCAGAAUAGUUCAGGUGCUCUUUAGUUCAAAUGAAAUUGUAUGUUUCUCCUUGUUGACAAUUCUUAAGUUUGUCAGGCCCUUUGGAUCAUCUUUUUGCUCCCCCCCUCCUGCAAUUGCAGGAGCUGUGAAGGCAUACUUAUACCACUGUUCGUAUUCUUCUACAUUAAUAUA